GUGUCAGCAGCCGCGGUAAUACGGAGGGUGCGAGCGUUGUCCGGAAUCACUGGGCGUAAAGGGCGCGUAGGCGGCCCAUUAAGCGUGUGGUGAAAGCCCGGGGCUCAACUCCGGGUCGGCCAUGCGAACUGGUGGGCUCGAGCACUGUAGAGGCAGGUGGAAUUCCGGGUGUAGCGGUGGAAUGCGUAGAGAUCCGGAAGAACACCGGUGGCGAAGGCGGCCUGCUGGGCAGUAGCUGACGCUGAGGCGCGACAGCGUGGGGAGCAAACAGGAUUAGAUACCCCCGUAGUCC
rnacentral:rRNA from 1 species